rnacentral:rRNA from 1 species
AACGCGAAGAACCUUACCAAGGCUUGACAUAUACCUGAAAAGGCUGGAAACAGUCUCCCCGCAAGGCAGGUAUACAGGUGGUGCAUGGUUGUCGUCAGCUCGUGUCGUGAGAUGUUGGGUUAAGUCCCGCAACGAGCGCAACCCUCGUUCUAUGUUGCCAGCACGUAAUGGUGGGAACUCAUAGGAGACUGCCGGGGUCAACUCGGAGGAAGGUGGGGAUGACGUCAAAUCAUCAUGCCCCUUAUGUCUUGGGCUGCAAACAUGCUACAAUGGCCGGUACAAAGGGUUGCGAGACCGCAAGGUGGAGCGAAUCCCAAAAAGCCGGUCUCAGUUCGGAUUGGGGUCUGCAACUCGACCCCAUGAAGUCGGAGUCGCUAGUAAUCGCGAAUCAGCAACGUCGCGGUGAAUACGUUCCCGGGCCUUGUACACACCGUAGAGAC